GGGUAGGGGAGCGUUCUGUAAGCCUGUGAAGGUAUGUCGUGAGGCAUGCUGGAGGUAUCAGAAGUGCGAAUGCUGACAUAAGUAACGAUAAAGCGGGUGAAAAGCCCGCUCGCCGGAAGACCAAGGGUUCCUGUCCAACGUUAAUCGGGGCAGGGUGAGUCGACCCCUAAGGCGAGGCCGAAAGGCGUAGUCGAUGGGAAACGGGUUAAUAUUCCCGUACUUGGUGUUACUGCGAAGGGGGGACGGAGAAGGCUAUGUUGGCCGGGCGACGGUUGUCCCGGUUUAAGCGUGUAGGUGUGUGUUCCAGGUAAAUCCGGUUCACUUUAACACUGAGGCGUGACGACGAGGCACUACGGUGCUGAAGCAACAAAUGCCCUGCUUCCAGGAAAAGCCUCUAAGCAUCAGGUAACAUCAAAUCGUACCCCAAACCGACACAGGUGGUCAGGUAGAGAAUACCAAGGCGCUUGAGAGAACUCGGGUGAAGGAACUAGGCAAAAUGGUGCCGUAACUUCGGGAGAAGGCACGCUGACACGUAGGUGAAGUGAUUUACUCAUGGAGCUGAAGUCAGUCGAAGAUACCAGCUGGCUGCAACUGUUUAUUAAAAACACAGCACUGUGCAAACACGAAAGUGGACGUAUACGGUGUGACGCCUGCCCGGUGCCGGAAGGUUAAUUGAUGGGGUCAGCGCAAGCGAAGCUCCUGAUCGAAGCCCCGGUAAACGGCGGCCGUAACUAUAACGGUCCUAAGGUAGCGAAAUUCCUUGUCGGGUAAGUUCCGACCUGCACGAAUGGCGUAAUGAUGGCCAGGCUGUCUCCACCCGAGACUCAGUGAAAUUGAACUCGCUGUGAAGAUGCAGUGUACCCGCGGCAAGACGGAAAGACCCCGUGAACCUUUACUAUAGCUUGACACUGAACAUUGAGCCUUGAUGUGUAGGAUAGGUGGGAGGCUUUGAAGCGUGGACGCCAGUCUGCGUGGAGCCGACCUUGAAAUACCACCCUUUAAUGUUUGAUGUUCUAACGUGGACCCGUGAUCCGGGUUGCGGACAGUGUCUGGUGGGUAGUUUGACUGGGGCGGUCUCCUCCUAAAGAGUAACGGAGGAGCACGAAGGUUGGCUAAUCCUGGUCGGACAUCAGGAGGUUAGUGCAAUGGCAUAAGCCAGCUUGACUGCGAGCGUGACGGCGCGAGCAGGUGCGAAAGCAGGUCAUAGUGAUCCGGUGGUUCUGAAUGGAAGGGCCAUCGCUCAACGGAUAAAAGGUACUCCGGGGAUAACAGGCUGAUACCGCCCAAGAGUUCAUAUCGACGGCGGUGUUUGGCACCUCGAUGUCGGCUCAUCACAUCCUGGGGCUGAAGUAGGUCCCAAGGGUAUGGCUGUUCGCCAUUUAAAGUGGUACGCGAGCUGGGUUUAGAACGUCGUGAGACAGUUCGGUCCCUAUCUGCCGUGGGCGCUGGAGAACUGAGGGGGGCUGCUCCUAGUACGAGAGGACCGGAGUGGACGCAUCACUGGUGUUCGGGUUGUCAUGCCAAUGGCACUGCCCGGUAGCUAAAUGCGGAAGAGAUAAGUGCUGAAAGCAUCUAAGCACGAAACUUGCCCCGAG
rnacentral:rRNA from 1 species